UUGAAUGCUGGCGGCAUGCCUUACACAUGCAAGUCGAACGGUAGAGGGGCAACCCUUGAGAGUGGCGAACGGGUGAGUAAUGCAUCGGAACGUGCCCAGUCGUGGGGGAUAACGCAGCGAAAGCUGUGCUAAUACCGCAUGUGAUCUGUGGAUGAAAGCAGGGGACCGCAAGGCCUUGUGCGAUUGGAGCGGCCGAUGUCAGAUUAGCUAGUUGGUAGGGUAAAAGCCUACCAAGGCGACGAUCUGUAGCUG
rnacentral:rRNA from 1 species